rnacentral:ncRNA from 2 species
UACGGAGGGUGCAAGCGUUGUCCGGAUUUAUUGGGUUUAAAGGGUGCGUAGGCGGCUAUUUAAGUCAGAGGUGAAAUCCUGCAGCUUAACUGUAGAAUUGCCUUUGAUACUGGAUAGCUUGAGUACAGACGAGGUAGGCGGAAUUUAUGGUGUAGCGGUGAAAUGCAUAGAUACCAUAAAGAACCCCUAUUGCGAAGGCAGCUUACUAGGCUGUAACUGACGCUGAGGCACGAAAGCGUGGGGAUCAAACAGG